rnacentral:rRNA from 1 species
UACGGAGGGUGCAAGCGUUGUUCGGAUUUACUGGGCGUAAAGGGCUCGUAGGUGGCCAAUUAAGUCAGGCGUGAAAUCCCCAGGCUCAACCUGGGAACUGCGUCCGAUACUGGCAGGCUUGAAUCCGGGAGAGGGAUGUGGAAUUCCAGGUGUAGCGGUGAAAUGCGUAGAUAUCUGGAGGAACACCGGUGGCGAAGGCGGCAUCCUGGACCGGUAUUGACGCUGAGGCGCGAAAGCCAGGGGAGCAAACGGG